rnacentral:rRNA from 1 species
GUGCCAGCAGCCGCGGUAAUACGGAGGAUGCAAGCGUUAUUCGGAUUCACUGGGCGUAAAGGGUGCGCAGGCGGCCGUGUGUGUAAGGUGUGAAAUCCCGGGGCUCAACCCCGGAACUGCGCCUUAAACUACAUGGCUAGAGUAUUGGAGAGGGUAGUGGAAUUCACGGUGUAGCAGUGAAAUGCGUAGAUAUCGUGAGGAACACCAGAGGCGAAGGCGACUACCUGGACAAUUACUGACGCUCAGGCACGAAAGCGUGGGGAGCAAAAGGGAUUAGAAACCCCAGUAGUCC